GCGCCUGGCCGCCGCCGCCGCUAUAAAGGCGCCCGCGGGCUGCUCGGCACGCUCAGAGUGUGACCAGGAGUGUCGUGUCGCCCACAGUGCUCCCGUCCGAAGAUCGCCAAGAUGAUGCGUACGCUGUUUCUGGCAGUUGCCGUGGGCCUGCUGUCGUCCAGUUCAGCUGCACCUCAGGGGAGACCGCGCCAACCAAUGAUGGCGGUCAUGCACGACAUGGUUGAUCUCGGAAUGAUGCCGGUGCGGCUGACCAUGGGCGCGCUGGUCGGCGGCGGGCGGAUGAUCCACCGCAACAUGGUGAUGCCGAUGACGAGGGGGGCGCGCUCCUUCAUGCCCCGUCUCCGGAGCACGUUCACCAACCAGUGACGGUCACCGACUGCACCGUCCACGUAUUCAGUACCUGCCACCAUCAGCUCAUCUGCUUGACGAAGCAUCACUGGCAUCAAGUUCGUGUGAUUACGACGUCACACAGACCCAGAAUUUCAAACGUCAGCUGCCAGGGGCCAUUGUAGCCCGUUCCCGACCGCCAGAGGCUAUUGCAGCCCUCUGCCUGACGCCAGGGGCUAUUGGAGCCCUCUCCCGGCCGCCAGGGGCUAUUGGAGCCCUCUCCCGGCCGCCAGGGGCUAUUGGAGCUCUCUCCCGGACGCCAGGGGCUAUUGGAGCCCUCUCCCGGCCGCCAGGGGCUACUGGAGCCCUCUCCCGGCCGCCAGGGGCUAUUGGAGCCAUCUCCCGGCCGCCAGGGGC